UCAUGGUGAUUGUAGGUGCUGCAGGUCUUCCAGCUACUGUUUGGAGAAGAUAUUUCCUCUCAAUUUAUGGAAGUAGGGAAUUUUUCUGAAGGCAGAAAUCAAGGAUUCAAGAACCCAAGUUGGACUCUUGAUUCCACUGAGACCACUGUGUGCAUUUUGAAAUGUUCCAAAUGUGUGUCACGUCCAUACGGAAGAAGUUCCAAGCCCACAAUGGGCUCUAUGAACUGUCCAGGGCAAAGUCGGUCUACCCUGAUGACACUCCCUGUUCCUUGAUGGUAACCAUGGCUGCUGCCCUCAACGUGGUGGGUGUGGACUAUAGGAGCCCUCAGAAAUAAACUGAUAUCAAUAAUUAAUAUGGAUGGUGAUUGUGGCAAGGGUGCCUCCAUAAGGU